rnacentral:lncRNA from 1 species
GGAUUGCAUAACUAUGUUGUAUUCGUAUUCAUUACAUUGUUGAAGCAUACUAGCAUGAUAGUAGGCUUAUUGCUAGAUGAUAUUUCAUGCAUUGCUUGCAUUUGAUGGCACAAUAGAUCAUAGUUGCAGUUCAAUAUCUAUCUAUCUCUCUAUCUAUCUAUUUGUGCCAGCUUAGACCUAGUGGGAAGAUCGGCGGAGUCGGCGGCCGAACCCACUGGGAACUAUAUUUAUAUAGUUCUCACCCCGUGUGGUUUUGGGGUACAGGUACACACGAGAGCGGACCGGCAGGGGAUCGCGGUAAGGGCGUAGCGCCCUAGCUAGCUAGUUGUGGCUUUCCUUUUGUACUAGAGUACCCUCGUGUACAUAGGUGACAUGGUUGUAUUUUGGAGAGUACAUUGUACCUAGAUGCAUGUGAGUGGAAUAUGUAUUCAUUUUGGUGAUGAUGAAAAUGUAAAUGUAAUCAAAGAUGUAAAAGUGGAAUGUGAUGUAAUAGCUAGAUGUAUCUCUCUUUAUGCACUUGUAUGUAUACUUGUGUUACUUGCUCUUGUUGUAUUGCACUCUUUGUGCUUCUCUCUUUGUUGGAUCGUGUAUGUAUUGAAUUAUCCCUGGGCAAAUUCUUUGUACAUGAUCCUGUGUUGAGCCUUGGGCGGACAGGGGAGGUGCUGUCCGUUCGGCGUCCGUCCGGCGCGCCCGAACCGGACCAAAUUGGUAGCGGUCUCGGGGCGGGGCGUGACACACUUAGUUCUCAUUCUAGGAUUUUACCAUGAUUAGGGUUCAAGCUUACCUCAAAGCUUUCCCCUCUUCAAGCUAGAGAUGAGGGAGAGGGAGUUUCUUCACUGCUUCUUCUUUUCCUCCACUUUUUUCUUCUUCUUUUCCUUUCCUUUCUUUGUCUUCUUCUUCUCCUUCUUGUCUUCUAGAGAGAGAAAGAGAGAGGAGAGGGAGUGUGCGAGGGAGAGGGAAUGAGAAAUAAAGCCCUCAAAGCCCUCCACUUAACCAUUGGGUUGCAUAAAUGCAAAUAGGCCCCUCAACUUUCAUUUUAUUGAACUGCUCAAACUGGGCAGAUUUCGGGUCCGGGGACCGGUCUCCCCGACUUGGAACCGGUCCCAGAGAGCUGCUCCCCGCAGCUGCGCAGGGCUCCCCGCGAUGCAACCGGUCUCUCCCAGGGGGACCGGUCUCUCGGGGACCGGUCUCUCCCCGCAGGGACCGGUUCCCGAGAGCUGAUUUUCUGGGACU